GAUAGAGAUAAACUGUAAACAGCAAUAAUGUUCAGCAAAGUAAGAUUUACAAAUAAGUCAACAUUACCAAAAUGGUCAGUUGACCCCUUUAGGAGUUAUUGCCCUUUAUAGUAAAUUUUUAACCAUUUUUUGUAAAUCUUAGUAAUCUUUUAGAAAAAUCUUCUCCUCUGAAACUACUGGGCCAAAUUAAACCAAACUUGGCCACAAUCAUCAUUGGGGUAUUUAGUUUAAAAAAUGUGUGGCGUGACCCGGCCAACCAACCAAUAUGGCCGCCAUGGCUAAAA
rnacentral:lncRNA from 1 species